rnacentral:rRNA from 1 species
AGAGUAUGAUCCUGGCUCAGGACGAACGCUGGCGGCGUGCUUAACACAUGCAAGUCGAACGGUGAAGCCCUUCGGGGUGGAUCAGUGGCGAACGGGUGAGUAACACGUGAGCAACCUGCCCUUCACUCUGGGAUAACUAUCGGAAACGGUGGCUAAUACCGGAUAUGACGCAUCCAGGCAUCUGGUGUGUGUGGAAAGUUUUUCGGUGGGGGAUGGGCUCGCGGCCUAUCAGCUUGUUGGUGGGGUGAUGGCCUACCAAGGCGACGACGGGUAGCCGGCCUGAGAGGGCGACCGGCCACACUGGGACUGAGACACGGCCCAGACUCCUACGGGAGGCAGCAGUGGGGAAUAUUGCGCAAUGGGCGGAAGCCUGACGCAGCGACGCCGCGUGGGGGAUGAAGGCCUUCGGGUUGUAAACCUCUUUCAGCAGGGAAGAAGCGGAAGUGACGGUACCUGCAGAAGAAGCACCGGCUAACUACGUGCCAGCAGCCGCGGUAAUACGUAGGGUGCAAGCGUUGUCCGGAAUUAUUGGGCGUAAAGAGCUCGUAGGCGGUCUGUCGCGUCUGCUGUGAAAACUCGGGGCUUAACUCCGGGCCUGCAGUGGGUACGGGCAGACUAGAGUGCGGUAGGGGAGACUGGAAUUCCUGGUGUAGCGGUGAAAUGCGCAGAUAUCAGGAGGAACACCGGUGGCGAAGGCGGGUCUCUGGGCCGUAACUGACGCUGAGGAGCGAAAGCGUGGGGAGCGAACAGGAUUAGAUACCCUGGUAGUCCACGCCGUAAACGUUGGGCGCUAGGUGUGGGGCUCUUUCCACGAGUUCCGUGCCGCAGCAAACGCAUUAAGCGCCCCGCCUGGGGAGUACGGCCGCAAGGCUAAAACUCAAAGGAAUUGACGGGGGCCCGUACAAGCGGCGGAGCAUGCGGAUUAAUUCGAUGCAACGCGAAGAACCUUACCUGGGCUCGAACGGCUGGUCAACGCCGGUGGAAACAUCGGUACCCCGCAAGGGGGUCCAGUCGAGGUGCUGCAUGGCUGUCGUCAGCUCGUGUCGUGAGAUGUUGGGUUAAGUCCCGCAACGAGCGCAACCCUUGUCCUGUGUUGCCAUGCCGAAAGGCGGAACUCGCAGGAGACCGCCAGCGAUAAGCUGGAGGAAGGUGGGGAUGACGUCAAGUCCUCAUGGCCUUUAUGUCCAGGGCUACACACGUGCUACAAUGGACGGUACAAAGCGUCGCUAACCUGCGAAGGGGAGCCAAUCGCAAAAAAACCGUUCUCAGUUCGGAUUGCAGGCUGCAACUCGCCUGCAUGAAGCUGGAAUCGCUAGUAAUGGCAGAUCAGCACGCUGCCGUGAAUACGUUCCCGGGCCUUGUACACACCGCCCGUCACAUCACGAAAGUGGAUUGUACUAGAAGUCUGCAGGCUGACCCUG